UAAUAAAUUAAAAAAAAUUAAUAAUUUCAAUUUAUUUAUAAUGUUGCAAUCAAACUAUAAAAACUAACUUAUUUUCCAUGGACUUUUUUAUUUUCACAAGACAAACGGAAACUGAUAUUAGUUAUUGCAGUUCAACUUGUAUCCAGGAAAGAUACAGUUCAAAAGUCUAAUUAAGAUCCUACUCGAACACACUUGGAGAACUACACAUCCCAAAAAAAAAAAAGAAAAUAUGCAUGUUAAAAUUUGGAGGCAACUAGGUCCUGUUGCUGCAGAACAUGCUUAAUGAUUUUAACCUUCCUCAAAACACUAUCGAGGGUACAGCUCGGAGUUCGAAACUUCGUUUAUGGACUGCUGGACGCCUUCAUUUAACCUUGAAGUUGAAUCUCUUGACGAUGAUGCCUCUAUCCUUAAUUCACUGUGCAUAAAAAAUGCAGGUUUUGAGGGAACUGGUAGAGUAAUAGAGUAGGUACUGAGCAUGGUAACAACUUGAGCCAUUGUUGGUCGAUUAGCUUCAUGUUCUUGAACACAAAGUAAUCCAAUGUGGAUGCAUCUCAUCAUCUCACUUCUCGAUCCAACUGUCAGGGUGGGAUCUAUCAAAUUUAAAGCUGUUCCUUCAUUCCAAUUUCUCCAACUAUAUGUUAGAAGGUCCUCUUCAUCCUCUCCAAUACCAACGCCACUGUUCUUUUGGCCGCUUGCAAUUUCCAAAACUAAGACACCAAAGCUAAAAACAUCUGAC
rnacentral:misc_RNA from 1 species